rnacentral:rRNA from 1 species
GUGGGGAAUAUUGGACAAUGGGCGCAAGCCUGAUCCAGCCAUGCCGCGUGAGUGAUGAAGGCCCUAGGGUUGUAAAGCUCUUUCACCGGAGAAGAUAAUGACGGUAUCCGGAGAAGAAGCCCCGGCUAACUUCGUGCCAGCAGCCGCGGUAAUACGAAGGGGGCUAGCGUUGUUCGGAAUUACUGGGCGUAAAGCGCACGUAGGCGGACAUUUAAGUCAGGGGUGAAAUCCCAGGGCUCAACUCUGGAACUGCCUUUGAUGCUGGGUGUCUUGAGUAUGGAAGAGGUAAGUGGAAGUCCGAGUGUAGAGGUGAAAUUCGUAGAUAUUCGGAGGAACACCAGUGGCGAAGGCGGCUUACUGGUCCAUUACUGACGCUGAGGUGCGAAAGCGUGGGGAGCAAACAGGAUUAGAAACCCGAGUAGUCC